UUAUUCCCCCAACUGGACUGAACCCGGCCCAGACUCCUACGGAGCAGCAUGGGGAAUUGGACAUGGGCGAAGCUGAUCCAGCCAUGCCGCGUGAGUGAAGAAGCUCGGUGUAAGCUCUUCAGGUGGAAAGAAAACUUCGGGGAAUACCCGGGAGGCUGACGUACAUCAGAGAAGCACGGCUAACUACGUGCCAGCAGCCGCGGUAAUACGUAGGGUGCGAGCGUAAUCGGAAUUACUGGGCGUAAAGCGUGCGCAGGCGGUUAUGUAAGACAGAUGUGAAAUCCCCGGGGCUCAACCUGGGAACUGCGUUUGUGACUGCAUAACUAGAGUACGGCAGAGGGAGGUGGAAUUCCGCGUGUAGCAGUGAAAUGCGUAGAUAUGCGGAGGAACACCGAUGGCGAAGGCAGCCUCCUGGGCCAGUACUGACGCUCAUGCACGAAAGCGUGGGGAGCAAACAGGAUUAGAUACCCUGGUAGUCCACGCCCUAAACGAUGUCAACUAGUUGUUCGGUGAGGAGACUCAUUGAGUAACGCAGCUAACGCGUGAAGUUGACCGCCUGGGGAGUACGGCCGCAAGGUUAAAACUCAAAGGAAUUGACGGGGACCCGCACAAGCGGUGGAUGAUGUGGAUUAAUUCGAUGCAACGCGAAAAACCUUACCUACCC
rnacentral:rRNA from 1 species